GUGAGGAAUUUUUCGCAAUGGGGGCAACCCUGACGAAGCAACACCGCGUGGAGGAUGAAUGGCUUUUGCUUGUAAACUCCUUUUUUGAGGGAAUAAAUAUGAAGGUACCUCAAGAAUAAGCAUCGGCUAACUACGUGCCAGCAGCCGCGGUAAGACGUAGGAUGCAAGCGUUAUCCGGAAUUAUUGGGCGUAAAGAGUUCGUAGACGAAUUGUUAAGUAGAAUGUUAAAGACCAGGGCCUAACCCUGGCAAGGCAUUCUAAACUGGCAGAAUAGAGUAAUGCAGGGGCAAGUGGAAUUCUGUAUGUAGGGGUAAUAUCCGUAGAUAUACAGAGGAACACCAAAAGCGAAGGCAGCUUGCUGGGCAUUUACUGACGUUCAAGAACGAAAGCGUGGGGAGCAAACAGGAUUAGAUACCCUAGUAGUCC
rnacentral:rRNA from 1 species